CUCUGGAGUAUGUCCACGACACCUGUGGUGAGUGGAUGUGGUUGACUUCAGCAGCUCUGAAAGCUCCAAACUAAAGCUUGAGAGCUGAGCUUGGCACCGGGGAAGACCUGUCUGCAGCUGAGCAGAGGAGCAUCAGCCAAACUCUACCUUGGGGAAUGGCCUCCUUGUCCUUUUGGAAGCAAUCAAAGAAAACAAAAAUCACACUGAGACUUUUUUUAAAUUAUUGCCUAUUUUGCACAUUUGUUUCAAACUGUUCACCUGAGAGGGGGGUUGCUGCCCCAGUUUGUCUGCUGGGCUGGAGGAGUUUCUGCCUACUGGAUUUACAGCACUGGAAGUGAAAGGAAGUGAAGAAAUGGGUUGAACUGGAGCAACAGGAAAUUCAGCCACAAGACAGUGGACUGAAACUCUGAAGUACACAACAACUCUGAAUGCUGAUGCCAUGCAUCUUUUUGCAAACAAGCUUUUAAACAUAUACAUGCCUUAAAAAAAAAAGUGUUCUGUAUUUAAUGAGACUUGGUUAUAAAUUAUUAACAUAUUAUGUAUAUUAUAUAAAAAUUGUCUCUCAAUCUACAUGUGGAUGUCUAUGUAUAUAUAAUUAUGCUUUUUUAGAUAAACGUGAAAGUGUAAUGGAGGAAUAAAAAAAAAACAGAUUUGAAGACCUUUGGGAGG
rnacentral:lncRNA from 1 species